UUCACCACCAGGUACAGAGGCAACUCCUUCCAUAGAUUUCUUCACCAGUUUUCCUUAAUGGUCUACUUGGAACGUUUGAAAUUGUCUGGUUCUUUGGCACCCAAAUAUGAAGGUCACUUCAUUAAGGGCCAGAAUUUUCAUAGAGAGCAUUUGAGAAAAAAGAGCUCAAUAAAAUACCAAAAAAGAAAUAGAAGCAAGAACUACAGUAAAAGAAAUGCUAUUUAUAUAUGCAAAUGAAGAUUGAAGACAACUAUUAUCAACUUUCUACUCUUAAGAAUUAUUUAACUUUCUACUGCUAUUUAUGCAUUUGGACAUUGGUUUACCAUGCCACUUUUUUUAUGUAUUAAAAAAAAACUGUUGAAAAUUAAAAUGAUAUUAUACUUGUGUUGAGGCCAAAUAUAUAUUCCCAAAGUGUUCUAAAUUUGUUAUAGUGUUUUUACUCCUGAGUAAUCAAUAACAUUGAGUAAUAAAGACAGAAUUAUUUAUGUAUAAAUAAAAAUUCUCAUGAACAUUUUUAUCUAUUUUUCUUCCUUUUCUGAGUUGAAAAGCAGCCAUUGUCAACAUAACUAAUUGUUGCUACAGUAUCUUUUUAAAUUAAUGUGGUACAGCAUAUUCUAAAAUAGCAAUGAAAAAAUAUUUAAGUUUUGUUUGUUUGUUUGUUGUUUUAAGACAGAGUCUUGCUCUCUUUCCCAGGCUAGAGUGCAAUGGCAUGAUCUUGGUUCACCACAACGUUAAGCUCCACCUCCCAGAUUCAAGCGAUUCUGCUGCCUCAGCCUCCCAAGUAGCUGGGAUUCUAGGCAUGCACCAACACACCUGGCCAAUUUUUUUUAGUAGAGAUGGGUUUUCUCCAUGUUGGUCAGGUUGGUCUCAAACUCUCAACCUCAGGUGAUCCACCUGCCUUGGCCUCCCAAAGUGCUGGGAUUGCAGGCGUAAGCCACUGUGCCCAGCCAAAUAUUUAAGUUUUAACAAUGAUCUACUCAGAUGAUAUCAUCUUAUGUGCAGACAACCAUAAAGAAUCCAUAGAAAAGGGGAGGACUCAAGAUGGCACUGUGAGAACAACCCAGGAUUGGAGCUCUCGUUCUGUCCGCGGAGAGGUGAGUCUGAGCUGCAUUUCCAGACUGAUCUUUGUUGCCCACGGAACGGGGAAAUUCCCAAGUGAAGUGGAGACGCGGGACGCCAGGCAGAACCUCCGCCUGGCGAAGCCGGCAGCCGGGGUGGCGGAUGCCAGCCCUACCCAGCGCUCCCCACUGGGAGCGUUUGUCCGGGUGCCCCGUUGAACCGGCAACUGGAGACGUGAGAGGGCUGGACUUGAGACUGAGCUAGACUUGGACAGUGGGCCAGCCCAGGGGAUUGCAGGGACAGAGCGUUAGGGGUGGCCCAGUGGGACAAACAAAACCGCGAUUUCAAACAAGCCCCGUGCAGAUGGCCCGAGACGCUCUGAGGGGGAGGGGCGUCCACCAUUACCAAGGCAACCUGCCCCAACUGAGAUACACGCCCAUUGCUGACGCAGCCAGCCGUUGCCGAGGCAACCCAUCCCUACUGAGAUACACGCCCACUGCUGACGCAGCCUGCCGUUGCCAAGGCAACCCGUCGCAACUGAGAUACAUGCCCAUUGCUGACGCAGCCAGCCGUUGCUGAGGCAACCCGUCCCUACUGAGAUACACGCCCACUGCUGACGCAGCCUGCCGUUGCCGAGGCAACCCGCGACAACAGAGAGACUCCGCCGCAGGGCGUGGCAGAGAACACAGCAGAACAGCAGAGCCAGGGCGAGUCUCACAACAGCAGGGCGGAGGCUUGGCAGGCAAACAGUGGCUAGUCUGCGUCCUAGCUGGGCAGGACCUCAAUGGACAUCCAAAAAUAAAGCCCAAACCCCUCAACACAGAGCAUUUGAGAAAAAAAAGGGGGUUUUUAUUAAUGAGCUCUGUUGCAGCAGAAUCAAACAUAGCAGCCUAACAGCCCUGAAGGAACAACAGAGCUCACAGCUCAGCAAUUAAGCUCCUAUAAAGCACAAACUGUCUCCUCAAGCAGCUCCCAGACCC
rnacentral:lncRNA from 1 species